AGAGUUUGAUCCUGGCUCAGGAUGAACGCUGGCGGUAUGCGUAACACAUGCAAGUCGAACGAAGNUNNUCUGAACUUANUGGNNGACGGGUGAGUAACGCGUGAGAAUCUGCCUUAAGGAUUGGGACAACAGUGGGAAACCGCUGCUAAUACCAAAUAUGCCUUUUAGUGAAACGGGUAAAACCGCCUUAAGAUGAGCUCGCGUCUGAUUAGCUAGUUGGUGUGGUAAGAGCGCACCAAGGCAACGAUCAGUAGCUGGUCUGAGAGGACGACCAGCCACACUGGGACUGAGACACGGCCCAGACUCCUACGGGAGGCAACAGUGAGGAAUUUUCCGCAAUGGGCGAAAGCCUGACGGAGCAAUACCGCGUGAGGGAGGAAGGUUCUUGGAUUGUAAACCUCUUUUCUCAGAGAAGAAUAAUGACGGUAUCUGAGGAAUAAGCAUCGGCUAACUCCGUGCCAGCAGCCGCGGUAAUACGGAGGAUGCAAGCGUUAUCCGGAAUGAUUGGGCGUAAAGGGUCUGUAGGUGGUUGUUCAAGUCUGCUGUUAAAGCGUCUGGCUUAACCAGAUAAAGGCGGUGGAAACUGAACGACUAGAGUGCGGUAGGGGUAGAGGGAAUUCCCAGUGUAGCGGUGAAAUGCGUAGAUCUUGGGAAGAACACCUGUGGCGAAAGCGCUCUACUGGACCGCGACUGACACUGAUGGACGAAAGCUAGGGGAGCGAAUGGGAUUAGAUNCCCCCGUAGUCC
rnacentral:rRNA from 1 species